rnacentral:rRNA from 1 species
GGCUUAUUGAAAAUAAUUUUAAGUCAAUCUGCCCAAUGAUUUAAAUUUAAAUGGCUGCAGUAUAAUUAACUGUACAAAGGUAGCAUAAUCAAUUGUUUUUUAAUUAAAAACUAGAAUGAAAGAAUUAAUGAGAUAUAUACUGUCUCAUAUAUAUAAAAUAAAUUUAAAUUUUUAGUAAAAAUGCUUAAAUUAAUUUAUGGGACGAUAAGACCCUAUAGAAUUUUAUAUUUAUAUUUAAUUUAUUAUUUAAUUAUAAUAUAAAUAUUUAAUUGGGAGGAUUAGUAAAUUAAAAAAACUUUAUUUUUAAAAUAAACUUUAAUUUUAGAAUAUAAAUUUUGAUCUUAUAUUAUAAAUUAAAAAAAUAAAUUACCUUAGGGAUAACAGCGUAAUAUCUUUUUAAAGAUCAUAUUAAUAAAGAUGUUUGCGACCUCGAUGUUGAAUUAAGAUAAAUUUUAGAUGAAGAAAUCUAAAUAUUAAGUCUGUUCGACUUUUAAAAUCUUACAUGAUUUGAGUUCAAAUCGACGUAAGU